rnacentral:rRNA from 1 species
GUGGGGAAUCUUCCGCAAUGGACGAAAGUCUGACGGAGCAACGCCGCGUGAGUGAAGAAGGUUUUCGGAUCGUAAAGCUCUUUCGUUAGGGACGAACGUGCUCUUUGUGAAUAAUGAGGAGUAAUGACGGUACCUAAAUAAGAAGCCACGGCUAACUACGUGCCAGCAGCCGCGGUAAUACGUAGGUGGCAAGCGUUGUCCGGAAUUAUUGGGCGUAAAGCGCGCGGAGGCGGGAGCACAAGUCUGGCUUUAAAGUGCGAGGCUCAACCUCGUGAGGGGACAGAAACUGGUAUUCUUGAGUGUCGGAGAGGAAAGUGGAAUUCCAAGUGUAGCGGUGAAAUGCGUAGAGAUUUGGAAGAACACCAGUGGCGAAGGCGACUUUCUGGACGAUGUCUGACGCUGAGGCGCGAAAGCUAGGGGAGCGAACGGGAUUAGAAACCCGUGUAGUCC